CUCCCACACGAGAGGCGCUCGGCUUCCCGAGCAGAGAUGCUGGAUCCGGCGUAGCAGGUGAUGCCUGGGGGAGAGAGGCGACCGGGGACCACUGCCCACGAGGACAGAGUGGUGACCUUCAAGCUCUCUAUAUGCGGAAAUGGAAAACUCCACACGUGUUGACAUGCUUCACGGAAGCAUCAUUCAGUCACUGGGGGAUACAUGUUGCUGAGAAGGCCUUUCACCCUCCCAGACUCUCCAGUUCUCUUAUCUUUGGGCCCGGCAGCUGGCCAUCACAGUGACAUUCCCGUGCUGAAGCCAGCAGAUUUGUCACCAGGUGAAACGCUGUAGGAGACGAAAUGGUGGCAGGUGUGAUGGGGACACCAAGACAGUGGAAGAGCCCAGCCAAGGGACCUUAUGGAUGCAGAAGUCGUUUGACUCCAGAGUUGAAUCCUAGAACAGGGGGUUGGGGAUUAACAGAUGCAAACUCUUGUAUAUAGAAUGGGUGAGCAACAAGGUCCUCCUGUAUAGCACAGGGAACUAUAUUCAAUACCCUGUGAUAAACCAUAAUGGAAAAGAAUAUAAAAAAGAA